GGGAAUCUUGGUCAAUGGGCGCAAGCCUGAACCAGCGCCGCCGCGUGAGUGAUGAAGGCCUUCGGGUUGUAAAGCUCUGUGGGGAGAGACGAAAGAAUCGGUUCUAACAGGACAGAAGUUGACGGUAUCUCCUUAGCAAGCACCGGCUAACUCUGUGCCCGCAGCCGCGGUAAGACAGAGGGUGCAAACGUUGCUCGGAACCACUGGGCGUAAAGGGCGUGUAGGCGGACAAGUAAGUCGGGCGUGAAAUCCCCAGGCUCAACCUGGGAACUGCACUCGAAACUGCGUGUCUUGAGUGCCGGAGAGGAAAGCGGAAUACCUGGUGUAGAGGUGAAAUUCGUAGAUAUCAGGUGGAACACCAGUGGCGAAGGCGGCUUUCUGGACGGUAACUGACGCUGAGACGCGAAAGCGUGGGGAGCAAAC
rnacentral:rRNA from 1 species